GACGAACGCUGGCGGCGUGCUUAACACAUGCAAGUCGAACGGAAAGGCCUGCUUUCCCUUGUGGAUUGCGGGUACUCGAGUGGCGAACGGGUGAGUAACACGUGAGUGAUCUGCCCCCAACUUGGGUAUAAGCCUGGGAAACUGGGUCUAAUUCCCGAUAGGACUGCAGGGUGGUGCCUGUGGUGGAAAACGAUUUUCUAGUGGUUGGGGAUGAGCUCGCGGCCUAUCAGCUUGUUGGUGGGGUAAUGGCCUACCAAGGCGGCGACGGGUAGCCGGCCUGAGAGGGUGGACAGCCACAUUGGGACUGAGAUACGGCCCAGACUCCUACGGGAGGCAGCAGUGGGGAAUAGUGCACAAUGGGCGGAAGCCUGAUGCAGCGACGCCGCGUGGGGGAUGACGGCCUUCGGGUUGUAAACUCCUUUCGACCGCGAGGAAGCCACCUGGUUGGAAGGGUGGUGACGGUAGUGGUAGAAGAAGCACCGGCUAACUACGUG
rnacentral:rRNA from 1 species